AGUACUCUGCGCAAGAUCCUAGAGCUAGUAAGUGGCAGAGCUAGAGACCAAACCUGGGCAGCCUGGCUCCAAACCCCAUGCUCUGAACCAAGGUGUCAGAGGAGGAGUUUCAAACCCAGGAACAAAGGAGGAAUAAGGAAAAUGGAGGGGGCUCCAUGCAGCUCCCCAACACUGUGCCGCCUUCUCCACCUGGGCACAGGUGUCACGCAGCUUGACAGGGACGCUUCCUACCAAGAAACGUCCCCCCAUCCUGGCCCUGCCUGCAGUUGAUUGUGUGAUGUCGGGCAAGUCCCUUACCCACUCUGGCACAUAUGACAGAUGGUUGCGAAGGCCCCAUCUAUAUUUUGGAAUCAGUCUUUUUCUGCUUUGGUACCACGCCACCUGGAAAGGAAGUUGAAUACCACACUGUUGCUUCCAGGUUCAUAAUUUCCCUCCUCUUGGGCACCAAUCCCAAGCCUCAGGUCCUACGUGUCCCCUUUUAUUCACCCGAGUGCAGCCUACUUCUCUCUCCCUGCACCCUCCAACAGGUCCCACCUGGUUCAGAGACCAAGCUCUGAUGGACACGUCCAAAAGAGGCUUGUGUGUCCCCCCAUCUCUUCCUUUUCCCAAGUGCCUGGUGGCUAUGGUCCUGUAGCAGCUUCUCACCAAUGCAUGUCAGCAGAGCUGAUGUGAUAUCGGCAGAGCACACG